rnacentral:rRNA from 1 species
GAUGAACGCCGGCGGCGUGCUUAACACAUGCAAGUCGAACGGUGAAGCAGGAGCUUGCUCUUGUGGAUCAGUGGCGAACGGGUGAGUAACACGUGAGCAACCUGCCCCUGACUCUGGGAUAAGCGCUGGAAACGGCGUCUAAUACUGGAUAUGUGAUGUGACCGCAUGGUCUGCAUCUGGAAAGAAUUUCGGUUGGGGAUGGGCUCGCGGCCUAUCAGCUUGUUGGUGAGGUAAUGGCUCACCAAGGCGUCGACGGGUAGCCGGCCUGAGAGGGUGACCGGCCACACUGGGACUGAGACACGGCCCAGACUCCUACGGGAGGCAGCAGUGGGGAAUAAUGCACAAUGGGCGGAAGCCUGAUGCAGCAACGCCGCGUGAGGGAUGACGGCCUUCGGGUUGUAAACCUCUUUUAGCAGGGAAGAAGCGAAAGUGACGGUACCUGCAGAAAAAGCACCGGCUAACUACGUGCCAGCAGCCGCCGUAA